rnacentral:lncRNA from 1 species
AAGAGCACGGCGAAACGAAGUCAUCUCAGCUGUCUGACGCUCCGAAGCAGCACGUAACUGCGUGAUCUCAGCCAAUAUACGAGCCUGCUGCUCGAUCAAUGUAGUCAUCGGACCCAAAAGAGGCACCAAGGGGUCAACUGGCAAUGUAGCCACCCCAGGGACUGAAGUAGAAGCAGAGGGACCGGAAGAGCUGAUCGGAAUAGUAAGAGGAGGAGUGGAAC